CCUACGGGAGGCAGCAGUAGGGAAUAUUGCUCAAUGAGCGAAACCCUGAAGCAGCAACACCGCGUGGAGGAUGAAGGUUUUCGGAUUGUAAACUCCUUUUGUUAGAGAAGAUAAUGACGGUAUCUAACGAAUAAGCACCGGCUAACUCCGUGCCAGCAGCCGCGGUCAUACGGAGGGUGCAAGCGUUACUCGGAAUCACUGGGCGUAACGAGCACGUAGGCGGGAUAGCAAGUCAGAUGGGAAAUCCUCUGGCUUAACCCUCGAAGUGCAUUUGAAACUGUUAUUCUAGAGUAUGGGAGAGGUAGGUGGAAUUCUAGGUGUAGCGGUAAAAUGCGUAGAGAUAAAGAGGAACACUAAAGGCGAAGGCGACCUGCUAGAACAAUACUGACGCUGAGGCGCGAAAGCGUGGGGAGCAAACAGGAUUAGAGACCCGAGUAGUC
rnacentral:rRNA from 1 species